CCCGUCACAUCAUGAAAGCCGGUUGUACCCGAAGUCCGCAAGCAAACUCGCAAGAGGCGCAGCGGCCGAAGGUAUGGCUGGUGAUUGGGAUG
rnacentral:rRNA from 1 species